rnacentral:tRNA from 1 species
GGGCCGCUAGCUCAACUGGCAGAGCAGGAGACUUUUAAUCUCCGGGUUCAGGGUUCGAGUCCCUGGCGGCCCA